CCUACGGGAGGCAGCAGUGGGGAAUUUUGGACAAUGGGCGCAAGCCUGAUCCAGCAAUGCCGCGUGCAGGAUGAAGGCCUUCGGGUUGUAAACUGCUUUUGUACGGAACGAAACGGUCUGCUUUAAUACAGUGGGCUAAUGACGGUACCGUAAGAAUAAGCACCGGCUAACUACGUGCCAGCAGCCGCGGUAAUACGUAGGGUGCGAGCGUUAAUCGGAAUUACUGGGCGUAAAGCGUGCGCAGGCGGUUAUAUAAGACAGAUGUGAAAUCCCCGGGCUCAACCUGGGACCUGCAUUUGUGACUGUAUAGCUAGAGUACGGUAGAGGGGGAUGGAAUUCCGCGUGUAGCAGUGAAAUGCGUAGAUAUGCGGAGGAACACCGAUGGCGAAGGCAAUCCCCUGGACCUGUACUGACGCUCAUGCACGAAAGCGUGGGGAGCAAACAGGAUUAGAUACCCUGGUAGUCCACGCCCUAAACGAUGUCAACUGGUUGUUGGGUCUUCACUGACUCAGUAACGAAGCUAACGCGUGAAGUUGACCGCCUGGGGAGUACGGCCGCGAAGGUUGAAAACUCAAAUGAAAUUGACGG
rnacentral:rRNA from 1 species